AUACGAAAGGUGCAAGCGUUGUUCGGAUUUACUGGGCGUAAAGAGAGUGUAGGUUGUUUAUUAAGUCGGAUGUGAAAUCCCGGGGCUCAACCUCGGAACUGCAUUCGAUACUGGUAGACUAGAGUUCGGGAGGGGUAAGCGGAAUUCCGUGUGUAGCAGUGAAAUGCGUAGAUAUACGGAGGAACACCUGAGGCGAAGGCGGCUUACUGGACCGAUACUGACACUGAGACUCGAAAGCGUGGGUAGCAAACAGGAUUAGAUACCCCUGUAGUCC
rnacentral:rRNA from 1 species